rnacentral:lncRNA from 1 species
CUCAUUCAUGAUAAACCUGUAUCUUAUUUAAAAAAAAAAAAAAGUAAAAUGUGAAUAGAGAAGAAUUUCCUUACUAUGAUCAAAGUUCUUGAUGGGGUUCAGAACAUGUUAACCACAAAUAUGGCCUAUUGACAUUUGAGGAAACAGGAAAGACAGAAAGAACACUUUUACCUUCCCCCUACCCUUCUCUCAAGAAGCAAAUCAUAAGACUCUCAUUUGAGACUUCUAUCGUUUGAAUGUGACACCCCUCCCCCAAUUAAUUUAUUAGAAACUUAAUCUCCAAAUUCAUAUGCUAAUACUAUUUAGAGGCAGGGCUUUUGAGCAGUAAUUAGAAUUAGAUGAGGUCAAGAGCACAGCUGCCCCUUAGGAUAGCAUUAGUGGCUUUAUAAGAAAAGGAAGAGAGACCAAAGCUCGCAUUAUUAUGCAGUUAUUAUGUUAUUAUGUUAUUAUGCAGUAAGGACCCCCAUUAGAUACCAGCUCCAUACUCAUGGAAUUCACAAUCUCUAGAACCUGAACUAAAUAAAUCUCUAUUCUUUAAAAAUCAUGUAGCUUCAAGUAUUCUGUUAUAAUAACUAAGACUGCAAAAUGCUCUCCCUAAUAUACAGAGGAAAGGAACAUUCUUACUUCUGAGGGAACAGGAACAUAAGGAAGAAUCUAAUGGACCUUGCUAGUUCUCUUCAGCUUAGUUACACUAGAUCUUACCCCUGUCUCCAAUUCUACUUCUCCAUGGCUAACUACCUCUUCACCAAACCUAGAAUUACAAUGCACAAGUUUACCUGGGUUUCCAAAGACUCCCAUGGUAUGUAAAACUUAUAUUAAAUAAAUUUGUAUGCACCUCUUUUGUCAAUCUACCUUUUGUUUUAGGGGCCUCAGCUAUGUACGUCAUUAUGGGUAAGGAAAAGAUAAUCCCCCCCCGCCCCCGAAUUAGGAGGAUUACAAGUCAAUCCGAAAUUGGUUGUAAUUGCCUGUUCUAUUUCUCUGUGUUCGAAUUACUCACCCUUUGAAGAUCUUGAUGCCUCAGAACUGCUGCUAAAACCAAUGUAAUGGUAGAAAAGACUCACCAAGUCAUGGCCCCACUGGAUGUUUUCAAAUAAUUUCUGAUCUGCCUGAAGCUCUGGUUUUUCAGUGGACCUCCUGUUGCUCAAAUUGCCCUAGCAGCCUGUACACUUGCUUCAGUAGCAUAGGUGUCAAGUAUACCUCCUGAUGAGGAAAUGACUUCCUGGAAUAGAUCCAUUGCAGCAAUGUGGGAUCUCUAAUUAUUAGGUUGAAAGUCUUUUAUUAAAAGGGGGAAAUGUCAAGGAAAAAAAAUAAAAUGGAGUAGUUUUGAUUUGGGGCUCUUAAAAUAUAAUUGGGAGACCAUUAUUAAUUAGACCUCAGAUGUCCACAGCUGAACUUUUGAAUUGGGCUGUCUGCUCAGCGUGUUAAUCUUUGGACUAGGCAACCAUUUUCUGUAUUAAUUCUUUGUUUAAUGAAACUAACUAACUUCAGCCAGAGUUGUUUCGAUGGUAUUAGUUCCAUGUCAGAUCUUAAUCUGAAAUACAAUACGUCCUGUUCUGCAGAGUUUUACUCUUGUUAUUUUGCCUCAAGAUCUUUCUCAGUUGCAAUUUGUGUCAUCCUUUCCUGGCGACCUGUCAUCAUGGGAAUGAUCCACCCCAACUCUAAUGUUUCAUUUUCUGAUCUCCUUUCUGUCAGGACCUUUCCAGGUCACCCUUGAGAACAAUGUUCUCAACCCCUACC